rnacentral:rRNA from 1 species
CACGUAGGGCGCAAGCGUUGUCCGGAAUUAUUGGGCGUAAAGAGCUCGUAGGCGGUCUGUUGCGUCCGCUGUGAAAACUCGGGGCUUAACCCCGAGCCUGCAGUGGAUACGGGCAGACUAGAGGUAGGUAGGGGAGAAUGGAAUUCCCGGUGUAGCGGUGGAAUGCGUAGAGAUCGGGAAGAACAUCGGUGGCGAAGGCGGUCUGCUGGGCCGUUGCUGACGCUGAGGCGCGACAGCGUGGGGAGCAAACAGG